UAACAUAACAUGUGCUAUACAUUGUUUAGUGAAUGGUUUAUGGUUUAUUUAUAUAUAAUAAAAAACCAAAUGUUGCUGAAUAUUUAUUUCGUCUAUAUCACUGGGGGACAUGAGUAAUCAUAAGCAUGUGAGACCUGCUAAGAAUAAGCUGACCAAUACGACCGAGUGAUUGUGGCUACCGUUGUUCAGUUGGUUGGGGAGAUCGUGGUAUUGUUAAAAGGAAGCACAUAAUAUGCUUUGCAAUCAAAUUUUCUUUUGUGUGUGGAAUUAUGAGUAGUUCAAAUGUUAGUGUACCCUUUAAUAUUCU
rnacentral:lncRNA from 1 species